AUUGAACGCUGGCGGCAGGCCUAACACAUGCAAGUCGAGCGGAUGAAGGGAGCUUGCUCCUGGAUUCAGCGGCGGACGGGUGAGUAAUGCCUAGGAAUCUGCCUGGUAGUGGGGGAUAACGUCCGGAAACGGGCGCUAAUACCGCAUACGUCCUGAGGGAGAAAGUGGGGGAUCUUCGGACCUCACGCUAUCAGAUGAGCCUAGGUCGGAUUAGCUAGUUGGUGGGGUAAAGGCCUACCAAGGCGACGAUCCGUAACUGGUCUGAGAGGAUGAUCAGUCACACUGGAACUGAGACACGGUCCAGACACCUACGGGAGGCAGCAGUGGGGAAUAUUGGACAAUGGGCGAAAGCCUGAUCCAGCCAUGCCGCGUGUGUGAAGAAGGUCUUCGGAUUGUAAAGCACUUUAAGUUGGGAGGAAGGGCAGUAAGUUAAUACCUUGCUGUUUUGACGUUACCAACAGAAUAAGCACCGGCUAACUUCGUG
rnacentral:rRNA from 1 species